GAGUUUGAUCCUGGUUCAGGAUGAACGCUGGCGGCGUGCCUAAUACAUGCAAGUCGAGCGAAUGGAUUGAGAGCUUGCUCUCAAGAAGUUAGCGGCGGACGGGUGAGUAACACGUGGGUAACCUGCCCGUAAGACUGGGAUAACUCCGGGAAACCGGGGCUAAUACCGGAUAAUAUUUUGAACUGCAUGGUUCGAAAUUGAAAGGCGGCUUCGGCUGUCACUUAUGGAUGGACCCGCGUCGCAUUAGCUAGUUGGUGAGGUAACGGCUCACCAAGGCAACGAUGCGUAGCCGACCUGAGAGGGUGAUCGGCCACACUGGGACUGAGACACGGCCCAGACUCCUACGGGAGGCAGCAGUAGGGAAUCUUCCGCAAUGGACGAAAGUCUGACGGAGCAACGCCGCGUGAGUGAUGAAGGCUUUCGGGUCGUAAAACUCUGUUGUUAGGGAAGAACAAGUGCUAGUUGAAUAAGCUGGCACCUUGACGGUACCUAACCAGAAAGCCACGGCUAACUACGUGCCAGCAGCCGCGGUAAUAC
rnacentral:rRNA from 1 species